rnacentral:rRNA from 1 species
AUUGAACGCUGGCAGCAGGCCUAACACAUGCAAGUCGAGCGGUAGAGAGGUGCUUGCACCUCUUGAGAGCGGCGGACGGGUGAGUAAUGCCUAGGAAUCUGCCUGGUAGUGGGGGAUAACGCUCGGAAACGGACGCUAAUACCGCAUACGUCCUACGGGAGAAAGCAGGGGACCUUCGGGCCUUGCGCUAUCAGAUGAGCCUAGGUCGGAUUAGCUAGUUGGUGAGGUAAUGGCUCACCAAGGCGACGAUCCGUAACUGGUCUGAGAGGAUGAUCAGUCACACUGGAACUGAGACACGGUCCAGACUCCUACGGGAGGCAGCAGUGGGGAAUAUUGGACAAUGGGCGAAAGCCUGAUCCAGCCAUGCCGCGUGUGUGAAGAAGGUCUUCGGAUUGUAAAGCACUUUAAGUUGGGAGGAAGGGUCGUUACCUAAUACGUGACGAUUUUGACGUUACCGACAGAAUAAGCACCGGCUAACUCUGUGCCAGCCGCCGCCGUAA